rnacentral:piRNA from 1 species
AUUGCGAGCUGGGCACGGAGCAG